AUUCUGUGAUGAGAAUAUUUGCAUUACAUUUCUAUAAAUCUUUCCCACGCCUCAUACAAGGACUCGUCAUCCAUAUGUUGAAAGGUAGUGAUCUUAUUCCAUAAUU
rfam:Gossypium raimondii chromosome 10, whole genome shotgun sequence.